rnacentral:rRNA from 1 species
UACGAAGGGGGCUAGCGUUGCUCGGAAUCACUGGGCGUAAAGGGUGCGUAGGCGGGUCUUUAAGUCAGGGGUGAAAUCCUGGAGCUCAACUCCAGAACUGCCUUUGAUACUGAGAAGCUUGAGUCCGGGAGAGGUGAGUGGAACUGCGAGUGUAGAGGUGAAAUUCGUAGAGAUCGGGAGGAACACCAGAGGCGAAGGCGGCGACCUGGACAGGUACUGACACUCAACUACGAAAGCGUGGGGAGCAAACAGG